rnacentral:rRNA from 1 species
UUGGGUAGUAUCAGUUAUUUUCUAAAAACCUAAAAGAUUUGGCGGUAUUUUAUUCUGUUUAGAGGAAUGUGUUUUUUUAUCGAUAAUCCACGAUUAUCUUACUUAUUUUUAUUUAUGAAGUAUUUUGUAUAUCUCCGUCAUUGAUUUUUUUAUAAAAAAUGAUUUUCUUUAUAUUUGUGUUAAAAUGAAAUGUCAGGUCAAGGUGCAGAUUAUGAAUAAGUUAAAAUGCAUUACAUUUAAGUUGAAAUUUUUGGAAAAUUCUUUUAAAUAGGAAUUUGAAAUUGGAUUUAAAAGUAAAUUUGAUAAAUUUUAUUAUUUUGAAUAUGUUUUAAAAUA